AUCCUACGGGAGGCAGCAGUGAGGAAUAUUGGUCAAUGGGAGAGAUCCUGAACCAGCCAAGCCGCGUGAGGGAAGACGGCCCUAUGGGUUGUAAACCUCUUUUGUCGGAGAACAAAACCCGGGACGUGUCCCGGACUGCGUGUAUCCGAAGAAAAAGCAUCGGCUAACUCCGUGCCAGCAGCCGCGGUAACACGGAGGAUGCGAGCGUUAUCCGGAUUUAUUGGGUUUAAAGGGUGCGUAGGCGGUCUGUUAAGUCAGCGGUAAAAUUGCGGGGCUCAACCCCGUCGUGCCGUUGAAACUGGCAG
rnacentral:rRNA from 1 species